rnacentral:tRNA from 1 species
GCCAGUGUGGCUCAGUGGGUAGAGCAUCCGCCUGCGGACUGUAGGGUCCCGGGUUCGAUUCCCGGUCGGGGCA